GGUGGAGGCGGAGGGAGGGCGCGCGCGGCCAGGCCGGGAGGUGCGGAAGUUCGCCGCCGCCGCUCAUUGGCGGGCCGCGCCGCUUUCAUCAUUUCUCGGAAAAGUCAAUUUCAUUUUCACUUCCCUACGUCGCGGCAGCAGGAGCAACAAGCGGCUGCUCGAAUAAAAGGAACAAUGAACUGACAAGACAGCAGUACUUCGAUAGUCAGGCAAGAACUGGGCCCGCCGAGGACCGGCGACCUUAACCUUAACUGAACCGUCGUCAGGAGUUGAGGGUGUAACCAUUUGGAGGGCUGCCGCCAUCUCUGGCACCACCUGGCGCUCUGUUUGGGAGCGAGGGCGAUGAAAAGGGGUGUCCCCCUGGUCGGUCUACAGCAGCACACGCGAGACCGAGUUAUCGCCGGUGCAACAGAAGUUCCUUUACUGCAGGAGGAGGUGCUCGAGGGUGUGAGUUAAUCUUACUUCCAGAUGGCUUAAUCGUGGCCGGUCCAGGAGAAAGGCUUCGUACUGUGAUAACGUUCGUUCAGCCAGAUUGAGAUUUGGCCCCUUUAAUUUAGUAGCUGGGCCUGCUCCGUCAAGUUGCUCGACCAAAGGCCUCGGUUUUCAAUGCUGUGAAACGGGGAUAAGUGAUAGAACCCAAGAAUACAACUACAGCACCUGUCCCUUCAGGGUGUGUGAGCUCACACCAGCACAAUUCAUUUGAGACCUACGGCUUUGGGGUCCUUUGCCUUAACAGUAUCAAUUCUCAUCUAAUUAUACCUCUUUCUUCCCUCAACUGCAGUUUAACCAGCCUUCUCCCAACUUCUCUCUGCCACCAAGGAAGACCCUUCCUGGGAGGCCGUAGCUAUUGCAUGUGAACACUUCUAAAAACAUAGCUCCAGCAUCCCUCUUUGCCACUGAAGUAUUGAAUUCUGUGGAUUGGAAGAAAUAAAAGUCUCUCCGUGUGC